UUCGGACGCGCCAGUCCGGUUUUCGAGCUCAGCAGUAAACAUUCGCGGGAAUGCGCUGAUGCAGAAAACGGUGAUAUGAGGGAUAUUGUGCAAAAAAGGGUAACGGGAUGUGAAAUUGAUACACUUACUGGCUUCAUUUCAAAUUAUGGCUGUGUCCCCUUCUCUACAGAGUUUGCCUAUUCUCCAGGCACUGCAGUUUCCAUGAAAUUGAAGUUAACAGUCUCGCAGCUACUAAUUCAGACAGCUUGUGCAAACCAGUUACUUAUUCAACUUUAGAAGAAAGACACAAUAUUCUGCAAUGUAUAUGUUAAUGUGUAUUAUUACAAUUGAUCUAUGAGUUGAAAAAAAAUCAAUAUUCCACAUUUUAAACCGGCGCAGGUGCAAAUGAGUUACAUUAUGUUGGGCCAAAGUAAUUGCAACAGUAUUGUGAAAAUACAAAUGCCUUUGUUAAAUUACAGUUGAGGUUGGGCCAGCCCAAUGCAAGUCCAUCCAUCCAUUAUACAACCUGCUAUAUCCUAAUUACAGGG